rnacentral:rRNA from 1 species
UUCCUACGGGGGGCAGCAGUGGGGAAUAUUGCACAAUGGGGGGAACCCUGAUGCAGCGACGCCGCGUGAGUGAAGAAGUAUUUCGGUAUGUAAAGCUCUAUCAGCAGGGAAGAAGAUGACGGUACCUGACUAAGAAGCCCCGGCUAACCACGUGCCAGCAGCCGCGGUAAUACGUAGGGGGCAAGCGUUAUCCGGAUUUACUGGGUGUAAAGGGAGCGUAGACGGCGAUGCAAGUCUGAAGUGAAAGGCGGGGGCCCAACCCCCGGACUGCUUUGGAA